CGUGUGCCAAAAAUAGGCCGCGGGCAUAGCCGCACCCAAAAAUAACCGCCCGAAGGCCGGGGCGCAAGUUCGUCCAGCGGAAAAAGGCCACAAAAACGGGUGGGCUAUAGCCUUGGGGGGUGGGGCUGGCCAACUUCGUCCGCCGGACUCGGAAUGGCGCGAGACUUUGCGAGGCGCCUCCGUGUGGCAAAAAUAGGCCGCGGGCACAGCUGUGUCUAAAAGUAACCACCCGAAGGCCGGGGCGCCAAGUUCAUCCAGCGGAAAAAGCCGACAAAACGGGUGGGCUAUAGCCUUGGGGGGUGGGGCUGGCCAACUUCGUCCGCCGGACUCGGAAUGGCGCGAGACUUUGCGAGGCACCUCCGUGUGCCAAAAAUAAGCCACGGGCACAGCCGCGCCCAAAAAUAACUGCCCGAAGGCCGGGGAACCAAGUUCGUCCAGCGGAAAAAGGCCACAAAAACGGGUGGGCUAUAGCCUUGGGGGGUGGGGCUGGCCAACUUCGUCCGCCGGACUCGGAAUGGCGUGAGACUUUACGAGGCACCUCCGUGUGCCAAAAAUAGGCCGCGGGGAAAGCCGCGCCCAAAAAUAACCACCCGAAGGCCGGGGCGCCAAGUUCAUCCAGCGGAAAAAGGCCACAAAAACGGGUGGGCUAUAGCCUUUGGGGGUGGGGCUGGCCAACUUCGUUCGCCGGACUCGGAAUGGCGUGAGACUUUGCGAGGCACCUCCGUUUACCAAAAAUAGGCAGCGGGCAGAGCCGCGCCCAAAAAUAACCGCCCGAAGGCCGGGGCGCCAAGUUCGUCCAGCGGAAAAAGGCCACAAAAACGGGUGGGCUAUAGCCUUGGGGGGUGGGGCUGGCCAACUUCGUCCGCCGGACGCGGAAUGGCGCGAGACAGUGCAAGGCACCUCUGUGUGCCAAAACUUGGCCGCGGGCACAGCCGCGCCCAAAAAUAACCGCCCGAAGGCCGGGGCGCCAAGUUCGUCCAGUGGAAAAAGGCCACAAAAACGGGUGGGCUAUAGCCUUGGGGGGUGGCGCUGGCCAACUUCGUCCGCCGGACUCGGAAUGGCGCGAGACUUUGCGAGGCGCCUCCGUGCACCAAAAUAAGCCACGGACACAGCCGCACGCAAAAAUAACUGCCCGAAGGCCGGGGCGCCAAGUUCAUCCACCGGAAAAAGGCCACAAAAACGGGUGGGCUAUAGCCUUGGGGGGUGGGGCUGGCCCACUUCGUCCGCCGGACUCGGAAUGGCGCGAAUCUUUACGAGGCGCCACCGUGUGCCAAAAAUAGGCCGCGGGCAAAGCCGCGCCCAAAAAUAUCCGCCCUAAGGCCGGGGCGCCGAGUUCGUCCAGCGGAAAAAGGCCACAAAAACGGGUGGGCUAUAGCCUUGGGGGGUGGGGCUGGCCAACUUCGUCCGCGGGACUCGGAAUGGCGUGAGACAUUGCGAGGCGCCUCCGUGUGCCAAAAAUAGGCUGCGGACAAAGCCGUGCCCAAAAAUAACCACCCGAAGGCCGGGGCGCCACGUUCAUCCAGCGGAAAAAGGCCACAAAAACGGGUGGGCUAUAGCCUUUGGGGGUGGGGCUGGCCACCUUCGUCCGCCGGACUCGGAAUGGCGCGAGAGUUUGCGAGGCACCUCCAUGUGCCAAAAAUAGGCCGCGGGCACAGCCGCGCCCAAAAAUAACCACCCGAAGGCCGGGGCGCGAAGUUCGUCCCGCGGAAAAAGCCGACAAAAAUGGGUGGGCUAUAGCCUUGGGGGGUGAGGCUGGCCAACUUCGUCCGCCGGACUCGGAAUGGCGUGAGACUUUUCGAGGCACCUCUGUUUGCCAAAAAUAAGUUGCGGGCACAGCCGCGCCCAAAAAUAACCGCCCGAAGGACGGGGCGCCAAGUUCGUCCAGCGGAAAAAGGCCACAAAAAUGGGUGGGCUAUAGCCUUGGGGGGUGGGGCUGGCCAACUUCGUCCGCCGGACUCGGAAUGGCGCGAGACAGUGUAAGGCGCCUCCAUGUGCCAAAAAUUGGCCGCGGGCACAGCCGCGCCCAAAAAUAACCGCCCGAAGGCCGGGGCGCCAAGUUCGUCCAGUGGAAAAAGGCCACAAAAACGGGUGGGCUAUACCCUUGGGGGGUGGCGCUGGCCAACUUCGUCCCCCGGACUCGGAAUGGCGCGAGACUUUGCGAGGCACCUCCGUGCACCAAAAUAAGCCGUGGACACAGCCGCGCCCAAAAAUAACUGCCCGAAGGCCGGGGCGCCAAGUUCAUCCACCGGAAAAAGGCCACAAAAACGGGUGGGCUAUAGCCUUGGGGGGUGGGGCUGGCCAACUUCGUCCGCCGGACUCGGAAUGGCGCGAGACUUUGCGAGUGGACUCCGUGUGCCGAAAAUAGGACGUGGGUACAGCCGCGCCCAAAAAAAACCACCUGAAGGCCGGGGCGCCAAGUUCGUCCAGCGGAAAAAGGCCACAAAAACGGGUGGUUUUAGCCCUGGGGGGGGGGUUGGCCCACUUUGUCCGCCGGAUUGGAAUGGCGCGAGACUUUGCGAGUGGCUCCCUGUGCCGAAAAUAGGAGUGGGUACAGCCGCGCCCAAAAAUAACCACCUGAGGGCCGGGGCGCCAAGUUCGUCCAGCGGAAAAAGGCCACAAAAACGGGUGGGCUAUAGCCUUGGGGGGUGGGGCUGGCCCACUUCGUCCGCCGGACUCGGAAUGGGGCGACACUUUGCGAGCGGCCUUUGUGUGCCAAAAAUAGGCCGCGGGCACAGCCGCGCCCAAAAAAAACCCCCCGAAGGCCGGGGCGCCAAGUUCGUCCUGCGGAAAAAGGCCACAAAAACGGGUGGGCAAUAGCCUUGGGGGUGGGGCUGGCCAACUUCGUCCGCCGGACUCGGAAUGGAACGAGACUUUCCGAGGCACCUCUGUGUGCCAAAAAUAGGCCGAGGGCACAGCCACGCCCAAAAAUAACCGCCCGAAGGCCGGGGCGCCGAGUUCGUCCAGCGGAAAAAGGCCACAAAAACGGGUGGGCUAUAGCCUUGGGGGGGUGGGCCUGGCCAACUUCGUCCGCCGGACUCGGAAUGGCGCGAGAGUUUGCGAGGCACGUCCAUGUGCCAAAAAUAGGCCGCGGGCACAGCCGCGCCCAAAAAUAACCAACCGAAGGCUGGGGCGCCAAGUUCGUCCCGCGGAAAAAGCCGACAAAAACGGGUGGGCUAUAGCCUUGGGGGGUGGGGCUGGCCAACUUCGUCCGCCGGACUCGGAAUGGCGUGAGACUUUUCGAGGCACCUCCGUUUGCUAAAAAUAGGCCGCGGGCACAGCCGCGCCCAAAAAUAACCGCCCGAAGGCCGGGGCGCCAAGUUCGUCCAGCGGAAAAAGGCCAUUAAAACUGGUGGGCUAUAACCUUGGGGGGUGAUGCUGGCCCACUUCGUCCGCCGGACUCGGAAUGCCGCGAGACUUUGCGAGGGGCCUCCGUGUGCCAAAAAUAGGCCGCGGGCAAAGCCGCGCCCAAAAAUAACUGCCCGAAGGCCGGGGCGCCAAGUUCGUCCAGCGGAAAAAGGCCACAAAAACGGGUGGGCUAUAGCCUUGGGGGGUGGGGCUGGCCAACUUCGUCCGCCGCACUCCGAAUGCCGCGAGCCUUUGCGAGGGGCCUCUGUGUGCUGAAAAUAGGCCGCCGGCAAAGCCGCGUCCAAAAUUAACUGCCCGAAGGCCGGGUCGCCAUGUUCGUCCAGCGGAAAAAGGCUACAAAAACAGGUGGGCUAUAGCCUAGGGGGGUGGGGCUGGCCAACUUCGUCCGCCGGACUACGAAUGCCGCGAGACUUUGCGAGGGGCCUCCGUGUACCAAAAAUAGGCCGCGGGCAAAGCCGCGCCCAAAAUUAACCGCCCGAAGGCUGGGGC
rnacentral:lncRNA from 1 species